rnacentral:rRNA from 1 species
AGAGUUUGAUCNUGGCUCAGGACGAACGCUGGCGGCGUGCCUAAUACAUGCAAGUCGAGCGAACCAAUAGAAAAGCUUGCUUUUCUUGAGGUUAGCGGCGGACGGGUGAGUAACACGUGGGUAACCUGCCUGUAAGACUGGGAUAACUUACGGAAACGUGAGCUAAUACCGGAUAGUUUCACUUCUCGCAUGAGAAGUGAAGGAAAGAUGGCGUCACGCUAUCACUUACAGAUGGGCCCGCGGCGCAUUAGCUAGUUGGUGGGGUAAUGGCCUACCAAGGCGACGAUGCGUAGCCGACCUGAGAGGGUGAUCGGCCACACUGGGACUGAGACACGGUCCCAACUCCUACGGGAGGCAGCAGUAAGGAAUAUUGCACAAUGGGCGCAAGCCUGAUGCAGCAACGCCGCGUGCCCGAGGACGGCCUUCGGGUUGUAAAGGGCUUUUCUGGCUGACGAGGAAGGACGGUAGGCCAGGAAUAAGCGUCGGCUAACUACGUGCCAGCAGCCGCGGUAAAACGUAGGACGCGAGCGUUAUCCGGAUUUACUGGGCGUAAAGCGCGGGCAGGCGGUGGUCCAAGUCGGACGUGAAAGCUCCCGGCUCAACUGGGAGAGGUCGUUCGAAACUGGGCCGCUAGAGGGCAGUAGAGGGGCGUGGAAUUCCGGGUGGAGUGGUGAAAUGCGUAGAGAUCCGGAGGAACACCAGAGGCGAAGGCGGCGCCCUGGGCUGCACCUGACGCUGAGCCGCGAAAGCUAGGGGAGCGAACGGGAUUAGAAACCCCGGUAGUCCUAGCCGUAAACGAUGUCCACUAGAUGUCUGGGCGGAGCGCCUGGGCGUCGCAGCUAACGCGUUAAGUGGACCGCCUGGGGAGUACGGCCGCAAGGCUAAAACUCAAAGGAAUUGACGG